rnacentral:lncRNA from 1 species
GAGGGAGUACAUUAGCAACUUGAAAGUAAAGACAUGCACAAUUUUAGUAAUACAUAGUUUCAAAGUUUUUAAUGACAAGUAAAUAAUUUUAGAUUUGUUAUUCAAAAUUUAGAGUGUAGGAAAUUUUAGUAUAUGUCGGUGUUUUAACCCGGCAACCUAUCAAGGGAGUACUCGAGAUAGAGUUUUGGUUGGUGGGUGUUGCCGAAAUCAAGGAGUCGAUGGUGACGCAGGAACACGAUUUAGACAGGUUCGGGCUGCU